rnacentral:rRNA from 1 species
GACGAACGCUGGCGGCGUGCUUAACACAUGCAAGUCGAACGGAAAGGCUCCAGCUUGCUGGAGUACUCGAGUGGCGAACGGGUGAGUAACACGUGGGUAAUCUGCCCUGCACUCUGGGAUAAGCCUGGGAAACUGGGUCUAAUACUGGAUAUGACCUUUCUCCUUAUGGGGUUUGGUGGAAAGUUUUUCGGUGUAGGAUGAGCCCGCGGCCUAUCAGCUUGUUGGUGGGGUGAUGGCCUACCAAGGCGACGACGGGUAGCCGGCCUGAGAGGGUGAUCGGCCACAUUGGGACUGGGAUACGGCCCAGACUCCUAGGGGGGGCAGCAGGGGGGAAUAUUGCACAAGGGGCGGAAGCCUGAUGCAGCGACGCCGCGGGGGGGAAGACGGCCUUCGGGUUGUAAACCUCUUUCAGCAGGAACGAAGCGUAAGUGACGGUACCUGCAGAAGAAGCACCGGCUAACUAUGU